rnacentral:misc_RNA from 1 species
UUUCAUUAUUACAUCCAUUCUAGAAAACAAAGUAAAAGGACAAGCAGAAACUCUAUGCAAUUUAUAUUCAUUUCAACUAUUUCAAUUAGUAUGUACUAUAAAAUUUCAGUAAUUACAAUUAGAAAAGAAUGACAAGUAUUGUAAGAAACCAUCGUCAAUAGAUGAUGAGGUUGAACAAAGAGGAAAAACAUGUGACGAGACUGGACAGGAGGGCCAAAAUCUCACCUGAAGCAACCUCCUCACCCAACAGAAGCUGAAUCCUGCUCCAUCAUUUUCCCAUCCUGUCCAUUUCUGUCGUAAAAAGUUUCAAUAUCGUAAGCAUCUUAACAUGCUCAAUAUCUAAUUCACCAAGGAUUUAACAUACACAAUGCAUCAUCUUUACAGAUUGACGCCUUCCCCUGCUAUCAACGACAGUCUGAUAUAUUUUGGGCAAAACCUGAUUCUACCAACCUCACUCUAAUCAUUUAGAAAAUUUCAACCAAGUUCAAUACCUUUUUCUCUUGCAGCUUGUAAAAUGGAAAUAUCCCCUUCUCUCGUCAUGGGUAAGUUAUAAUAGCAAUUCCAUAACUUCAUGGAGAAUGGAUAUACAGAUAAAGCUCUCUUGUAAAAUCUCUCAGAAAUUAACU